rnacentral:misc_RNA from 1 species
GAUGAAGAACGUAGCGAAAUGCGAUACGUAAUGUGAAUUGCAAAUUCAGUGAAUCAUCGAGUCUUUGAACGCACAUUGCGCCCCCUGGUAUUCCGGGGGGCAUGCCUGUCCGAGCGUCAUUGCUGCCCUCAAGCACGGCUUGUGUGUUGGGCCCCGUCCUCCGAUUCCGGGGGACGGGCCCGAAAGGCAGCGGCGGCACCGCGUCCGGUCCUCGAGCGUAUGGGGCUUUGUCACCCGCUCUGUAGGCACGGCCGGCGCUUGCCGAUCAACCCAAAUUUUUAUCCAGGUUGACCUCGGAUCAGGUAGGGAUACCCGCUGAACUUAAGCAUAUCAAUAAGCGGAGGA